rnacentral:piRNA from 2 species
AGAAUUUAAGGAUGCCAAACCAUUGA